CCUACGGGGGGCAGCAGUGAGGAAUAUUGGUCAAUGGGCGCGAGCCUGAACCAGCCAAGUAGCGUGAAGGAUGACUGCCCUACGGGUUGUAAACUUCUGUUAUAAAGGAAUAAAGUGAGGCACGUGUGCCUUUUUGUAUGUACAUUAUGAAUAAGGAUCGGCUAACUCCGUGCCAGCAGCCGCGGUAAUACGGAGGAUCCGAGCGUUAUCCGGAUUUGUUGGGUUGAAAGGGAGCGUAGAUGGGUUGUUAAGUCAGUGGUGAAAGUUUGCGGCGCAACCGUAAAAUUGCCAUUGAUACUGGCAGUCUUGCGUACAGUUGAGGUAGGCGGACUUCGUUGUGUAGCGG
rnacentral:rRNA from 1 species